UACGUAGGGCGCAAGCGUUAUCCGGAAUUAUUGGGCGUAAAGAGCUCGUAGGCGGUUUGUCGCGUCUGCCGUGAAAGUCCGGGGCUCAACUCCGGAUCUGCGGUGGGUACAGGCAGACUAGAGUGAUGUAGGGGAGACUGGAAUUCCUGGUGUAGCGGUGAAAUGCGCAGAUAUCAGGAGGAACACCAAUAGCGAAGGCAGCUCGCUGGGACGUUACUGACACUGAGGCGCGAAAGCGUGGGGAGCGAACAGG
rnacentral:rRNA from 1 species